rnacentral:rRNA from 1 species
AGUGAACGCUGGCGGUAGGCCUAACACAUGCAAGUCGAACGGAAGCACAGUAAGAGCUUGCUCUUACGGGUGGCGAGUGGCGGACGGGUGAGGAAUACAUCGGAAUCUACUUUUUCGUGGGGGAUAACGUAGGGAAACUUACGCUAAUACCGCAUACGACCUACGGGGGAAAGCAGGGGAUAGUUGGACCUUGCGCGAUUGAAUGAGCCGAUGUCGUAUUAGCUAGUGGGCGGGGUAAAGGCCCACCAAGGCGACGAUCCGUAGCUGGUCUGAGAGGAUGAUCAGCCACACUGGAACUGAGACACGGUCCAGACUCCUAAGGGAGGCAGCAGUGGGGAAUAUUGGACAAUGGGCGCAAGCCUGAUCCAGCCAUACCGCGUGGGUGAAGAAGGCCUUCGGGUUGUAAAGCCCUUUUGUUGGGAAAGAAAAGCAGCAGGUUAAUACCCCGCUGUUCUGACGGUACCCAAAGAAUAAGCACCGGCUAACUUCGUG